rnacentral:misc_RNA from 1 species
GGUGAAGAACGCAGCGAAAUGCGAUAAGUAAUGUGAAUUGCAGAAUUCAGUGAAUCAUCGAAUCUUUGAACGCACAUUGCGCCCGCCAGUAUUCUGGCGGGCAUGCCUGUCUGAGCGUCAUUUCAACCCUCAAGCCCCUAGGGCGUGGUGUUGGGGAUCGGCCAAAGCCCGCGAGGGACGGCCGGCCCCUAAAUCUAGUGGCGGACCCGUCGUGGCCUCCUCUGCGAAGUAGUGAUAUUCCGCAUCGGAGAGCGAUGAGCCCCUGCCGUUAAACCCCCAACUUUCCAAGGUUGACCUCAGAUCAGGUAGGAAUACCCGCUGAACUUAAGCAUAUCAAUAAGCGGAGGA